rnacentral:rRNA from 1 species
UUGCACGCUGGCGGCAUGCCUUACACAUGCCCGUCGAACGGCAGCAUGAUCUAGCUUGCUAGAUUGAUGGCGAGUGGCGAACGGGUGAGUAAUACAUCGGAACGUGCCCUGUAGUGGGGGAUAACUAGUCGAAAGAUUAGCUAAUACCGCAUACGACCUGAGGGUGAAAGUGGGGGACCGCAAGGCCUCAUGCUAUAGGAGCGGCCGAUGUCUGAUUAGCUAGUUGGUGAGGUAAAGGCUCACCAAGGCGACGAUCAGUAGCUGGUCUGAGAGGACGAUCAGCCACACUGGGACUGAGACACGGCCCAGACUCCUACGGGAGGCAGCAGUGGGGAAUUUUGGACAAUGGGCGAAAGCCUGAUCCAGCAAUGCCGCGUGUGUGAAGAAGGCCUUCGGGUUGUAAAGCACUUUUGUCCGGAAAGAAAUGGCUCUGGUUAAUACCUGGGGUCGAUGACGGUACCGGAAGAAUAAGGACCGGCUAACUACGUG